GGAGGUGUGGUUUAAAUGGUAGAGUACUGCCUAAUAAGCAUGAAGCCCUGAGUUCAAACCCCAGUACCACCA
rnacentral:tRNA from 1 species